GGACACGCCCUGUCUGACUGUAUUUUCUAUGUAUUUUGAAGCCCACAUUAAAAUGCAUUUUUCAGAUCCUUUGAAAGUAAAAAGAUGAAAUGUAAUCACCGAUUAUAUAACUUUUAGGUGUUCAAACCCAUUUUAUAGAUAUAUAUUACCAAAAUAUAUUUCAUCUUAUGGUCACAAAUGUAUUCAAACGCACUAUAGCAAUCUUGGUAAGGCCACUACUUGCCCCUCAAAAUUUAAUAAUCCUAUUUGGAAUAGUGGUUAGUGUACCUGAAUGUUGAAUAUAAUGUUGCAGGUUUGAAAAACAGCCUGUCCAAUGCUACAGUAUAUUUAGACAUGCAUUUAAAAAAUGUGUUAAAUCGAUAUAAUAUAUUUAAGCUGCCAAUUUCAAACAUUGACAUAUAUUUUCCACAUGUAUUCAGAAAUAUAUUUUCCAAAUGUAUUCAGAAAUAUAUUUUCCAAAUGUAUUCAAAAAUAUAUUUAAAAUACAUUUAUUUUCUGUAUGGGAACAUAAAGUUGAAAAGUGCUGUCCCAUUGCCAUUCAUAGCAUUUAGAGCCCUUGCAGCCUCGUGCACUCAAUUACUUACCAGGUGACGCCAGUUAAGUCUGUGAGGGUUCAUGGCUUUGGGUUUAGGGGGGACAUUGGGAUUGGGCAAUUAUUUUGCACAAUGGUUCGCAUGAGGGGUGGUUCAUAUGGAACGCCAAAGGGAUCAGAAUUCAUGCAUUCAGCACCUACGGCUGUUCAGCAAACCCCCGCGCUUAUGGAAGGCCAAGUGAGUAAUAAACAGGACAUAUUACGUCGUCCCACGAGACACAAAAUAUGCUGUUAAGAAUUGUAUUAACAUAAUUUACACAUUAAGUGUAUGUUACAUUCAUGAACUGGGGAAAGCUGUCUUUAGCUACCUAGAUAACUAGUGCCUAGUUAUGACUGUUAGUUAUUGCCAAUGGCUUUUGUCUUGGUUGCAAUACUAUCCAUGUUACAUGGCUUUAGGGAACAUGGUUGUGUCUAAAAAGCAGCCUGUUUUAGAAUUCAGUGAAACAAGUUUUUCCCUGACAGUCAUGUGACCUCUCUUCCCCACAGUUGUCCCUAUUUGUACUCUCUUGCUAUCAGUUUGUGCCGUUUGACAUCCCAGUUUAGUUGGUCUGACUCACCUGUUACUGUACAGUGCAUCAUCUCCAGUGCAUUGUUCUAAAAGACGGUGUUGCAUCCAAUUAUGGAUCGAUUAGGCUUCCUCACAUCUCUGGGGUUGAAGGAUGGAACCCUGGGCAAAUGCUUUCAUAUACAUUCCUCUACAAGUCAGGAGGAUCAUCAUCAUCACACAACCCAACUUCCUGGACGUACAUGUUUGAGUCAUUGGCCCUUUGGAUGGUGAACGAGAACUUUGCUGAGUUUUCUGCUCAGUGACAUUGAACCAGAGAAGCACUCCCAUUCCCCAAUCCUUUCCAAACAAGAGACUGCUCACUUAAAUCUCAUGACGGUGUAUUUAAUGACCCACACAACUGCUUCAGAUUUUUAGCAGGAUGCAUUGGCCACACAGAAUCAAAGUCUUCACAACUAUGGGUAUUGGAACUUAAAUCAUUAGAAUCAACUAACAGGCAUGGGGGUUUAUGAUGUACAUAGGCAGUGUCUUGUUGUUAUACGUUUAGAGAUGUUAAUACAAUUCUUAAUGUUGUCACGUUAACAGUUCCAGAAUAAAGUAUACCUGAACUAGGGGCCAGCUCUCUCUGUGCAUUGCCCCUAAAUAUUGAACACAGUAGGAGCAGUCCCCAAGUGUAAAUAUGUAAGAACAGCCAUUUGGCAUCUUUAUCCUGACACUUAAUUCUGUCUGCUGCACAUCUUCUAAUAUCAAGGGAGAAGAGGAUCUUCAUGGUUAGAGGGUACAUGGUCUCUCCAAAUCUGAGGGAAAAAAACAUUUGAAGAAGUUAUUUUACUGUGGGGAGA
ensembl:lncRNA